UGGAUCCAGACUUUGAUCAUGGCUCAGGAUAAACACUGGCGGCGCACAUAAGACAUGCAAGUCGAACGAACUUAAUUCGAAUGUUUACAUUUGGAAGCGGUUAGUGGCGGACUGGUGAGUAACACGUAAGCAACCUGCCUAUCAGAGGGGAAUAACAGUGAGAAAUCAUUGCUAAUACCGCAUAUGCUGUGAGUAUCGCACGAUACAAACAGGAAAGGAGCAAUCCGCUGAUAGAUGGGCUUGCGUCUGAUUAGAUAGUUGGUGGGGUAAUGGCCUACCAAGUCGACGAUCAGUAGCCGGACUGAGAGGUUGAACGGCCACAUUGGGACUGAGAUACGGCCCAGACUCCUACGGGAGGCAGCAGUCGGGAAUAUUGCACAAUGGAGGAAACUCUGAUGCAGUGACGCCGCGUGCAGGAAGAAGGUUUUCGGAUUGUAAACUGCUUUAGAUAGGGAAGAUAAAAGACUGUACCUAUAGAAUAAGCUCCGGCUAACUACGUGCCAGCAGCCGCGGUAAUACGUAGGGAGCAAGCGUUAUCCGGAUUUAUUGGGUGUAAAGGGUGCGUAGACGGGAAUUUAAGUUAGUUGUGAAAUCCCUCGGCUUAACUGAGGAACUGCAACUAAAACUGAAUUUCUUGAGUGCGGGAGAGGAAAGUGGAAUUCCUAGUGUAGCGGUGAAAUGCGUAGAUAUUAGGAGGAACACCAGUGGCGAAGGCGACUUUCUGGACCGUAACUGACGUUGAGGCACGAAAGUGUGGGGAGCAAACAGGAUUAGAUACCCUGGUAGUCCACACUGUAAACGAUGGAUACUAGGUGUAGGUAAUAUUAAGUUAUCUGUGCCGUCGCAAACGCAAUAAGUAUCCCACCUGGGGAGUACGACCGCAAGGUUGCAACUCAAAUGAAUUGACGGA
rnacentral:rRNA from 1 species